GGGAGUUUGGCCGAGUGGUUAAGGCGCCGUGUUUAGGAUCUGCUGAGCUUUGUCUCAGCAUUCCAUAGACCCGCGGUGGGAAACCGCGCAGGUUCGAAUCCUGCAGCUCUCA
rnacentral:tRNA from 1 species